rnacentral:rRNA from 1 species
GACUCUCGGCAAUGGAUAUCUCGGCUCUUGCAUCGAUGAAGAACGUAGUGAAAUGCGAUACUUGGUGUGAAUUGCAGAAUCUCGUGAACCAUUGAGUCUUUGAACGCAAGUUGUGCCCGAGGCUUUGUGGUCGAGGGCACGCCUGCUUGGGCGUCAUG